AUUGAACGCUGGCGGCAGGCCUAACACAUGCAAGUCGAACGAGUGGCGGACGGGUGAGUAAUGUCUGGGAAACUGCCCGAUGGAGGGGGAUAACUACUGGAAACGGUAUCUAAUACCGCAUACCAUCGGAUGUGCCCAGAUGGGAUUAGCUAGUAGGUGGGGUAACGGCACACCUAGGCGACGAUCCCUAGCUGGUCUGAGAGGAUGACCAGCAAAACUGGAAUUGAGGCACGGUCCAGACUCGUACGGGAGGAAGUGGGGGGGAACAUUGCACAAGGGGCGGAAGCCGGAUGCAGCGAUGCCGCGUGUAUGAAGAAGGCCUUCGGGUUGUAAAGUACUUUAAGCGAGGAGGCGUUACUCGCAGAAGAAGCACCGGCUAACUCCGGGACAGCCGCCGCGGUAAUAC
rnacentral:rRNA from 1 species